UGACACACAAGGAAUUUGGUUCCAGCUGUUUGUGACUCUCAAAGGAAUGGCAGGACUCUGGAAUUCCCAGCAGAACUUUAGGUGCCCAGAGCAUCAAUCUGCAUCUCCAGGUUCUUUCCAUGGUAGACAGGGGUCAGCAUGGGCACUCUGAAGGGUCUGGGGCUAUGCAGCCAUAUAUGAAGCAAUUAAAAUCAUAACAUAUAGACUAGCCCUUAUUCCUCACAUGCAACAGUAAUCAAUAGAUGCACAUGAAUCCUGUUGUCCAUGACCCUGACUUCCAGCAAAUCAGCUUCAAGAAAUAUUAAUUUGCUGCCUAAUAUAUCCCACCCCUUGACCUGCUCCAAUGUUAUGUAUGUCACCUGUCAGUGUGUUAAUGUUAAUUAGUGGUUAAAGGAGUGAAUGUUUUGAAAUAUAUUUAUGAUAAUUGAACCAAUUAUGAAUGAUUAAUGAAUUAUAAAUAGAUGAUUAUUAAAGCAUUACUGAUUUAUCUGGAUGUGAUUCCAGAGUAACAUAGGAAAAAUGUCUUCCACUAGCUGAGAUGACUGACCCUCAUGAUUAACACUAGGUUUGUUUCAGCUGAGUGAAGUCCUGAGGAACUAAAUAUGGCUCAGUAGGCAUCAACCAUGGAAACAGUACUUGAUGAUGCUAACCUCUGGUGUACAAAAGGAAUCACAGAAUUUCAGAAACAUUUUGUCAUCGGUUAGCCCCUGCUCUCCUUUACAUGCAAUACAGGGGCAGUGGCAGUGACAGGAAGGUUGUGAGUUAAAAACCCAGCACUGCCACUGUUGGGCCCUUAACUUUCAAGUGCUCAGUUGAUAAAUGUAAGUAAAUUGAUCUAGAUAAUGGCAGCUGCCAAAUACAGUAAAUGUAAAUGUGAAUGCAAUACCUGUGCUGGCAGAACAAUAGCAAGCAAAAGAGAAAUCACAAUAACUGGUAAAGGGAAAGGAAUGGACCUAAGGCACUGUACAGAGCAUGGAAAGGAAGAUCUGGGUCCAUACUGGAUAGGGCUGGUUGGUACUGUAGAAUUAUCUCGGCAUUCCAGGGUAAAUGUGAAAGAUUAGUGAACCAUUGCCCGGUGAGGAGUAUAGACU